CACACAAGUCGCUCACGCUGAGCAUGCAGUGGCGGGAGGGCGACCUCGGCUUCUACUGCAACCGCACGCUCCUGCACCGCGCCUCGGCGAGCACGCAGCGGCGAGAGAGCCACGGCGAG
rnacentral:ribozyme from 1 species